rnacentral:rRNA from 1 species
GAUGAACGCUGGCGGCGUGGAUAAGGCAUGCAAGUCGUACGCUGAGCACAUAACUUGUUAUGUGCUCGGAGUGGCGAACGGGUUAGUAACACGUGGGUAACGAACUCUAGAGAUGGGCAUAAUUCGUCGAAAGACGGACUAAUUCCCAAUAGUCCCUUCACCAUAAAAAUGGUGAAGGGUAAAGGAGAAAUCCGCUCUGGAAUCGGCCCGCGGCCUAUCAGCUAGUUGGCAGGGUAAUGGCCUACCAAGGCGAUGACGGGUAGGGGAUGUGAGAGCAUGUUCCCCAACACUAGCACUGCGACACGGGCUAGACUCCUACGGGAGGCAGCAGUCGAGAAUAUUGGACAAUGGGGGAAACCCUGAUCCAGCGACGCCGCGUGCUCGAAGAAGCCCUUCGGGGUGUAAAGAGCUUUUCUGGAGGAAGAAGUUUCGACUGACAGUACUCCAGGAAUAAGGGGGUGCUAAUCACGUGCCAGCAGCCGCGGUAAUACGUGACCCCCGAGCGUUAUCCGGAUUUAUUGGGCGUAAAGCGUCUGUAGGCGAUCUGGAAAGUCUUUGGUUAAAUACCAAGAGCUUAACUUUUGGGCCGCCAGAGAUACUUCCAGAAUAGAGGGCGUUAGAGGCUGAUGGAACGGUCGGUGUAGAGGUGAAAUUCGUUGAUAUCGACCGGAACACCGAAAGCGAAGGCAUUCAGCUGGGGCGACCCUGACGCUGAGAGACGAAAGCGUGGGGAGCAAAAAGGAUUAGAUACCCUUGUAGUCCACGCUGUAAACGAUGGACACUGGCUAUUUGAAGUGUCGACCCUUCAAGUGGCGAAGCUAACGCGUUAAGUGUCCCGCCUGGGAAGUACGGCGGCAACGCUAAAACUCAAAGGAAUAGACGGGGACUCACACAAGCGGUGGACCAUGUGGCUUAAUUCGACAACAAGCGAAGAACCUUACCAGGGCUUGACAGGCUAGUGAAAAUCUUCCGAAAAGAAGAUCUACCCACAAGGACACUAGCCCAGGUGCUGCAUGGUUGGUACCUUGUUAAAGGUAUACGACCCACUAAGGAGUAAUCUUUAGUGAAAAAACCAGCUCAUAACGGUGAAACCCUAAUUCUUUUAUGAUAGAAUAAAAGAAUGGGCAAUACCGUGGGAAGUCAUAAUUGACCCCGUAGAGACUUAGUUUUCCACUAGAGCUAGGAAAACUUAAUGAUAGCUUUUAACCUAUCAUUACACGCUGGUCCCAAAACUAAAUUUGGGAAAUGGUAUAGUCCAUACCAUAAGAAAUUAUGGAAGAAUAUGGUCGUCAGCAUGUGUUUUGAAAUGCACGCUUAAAUGCGGUAACAUGCGCAACCCUUACCCUAUGUUUUAUUUGUCAUAGGGAACUGCCUGGGAUGACCAGGAGGAAGGUGAGGAUGACGCCAAAUCAGCAUGGCCCUUUGAUGCCCUGGGCUGCACACGUGGUACAAUGGGGCUGACAAUGGGUUGCCAAGGGGUAACCUGGAGCUAAUCCCAUCAAACAGCCUCUUAGUUCGGAUUGAGGUCUGCAACUCGACCUCAUGAAGCCGGAAUCGCUAGUAAUCGCCAAUCAGCCACGUGGCGAUGAAUAUGUUCCUGAGUCUUGUACUCACCGCCCGUCACAUUAGGGAAGCCGGCAGUAGCCGAAGUUCCGAGUAAUCGAGCCUAAGCUAAGGUCGGUAACCAGAAUG